rnacentral:rRNA from 1 species
UCGGGAAUUUUGGGCAAUGGGCGAAAGCCUGACCCAGCAACGCCGCGUGAAGGAUGAAGUAUUUCGGUAUGUAAACUUCGAAAGAAUAGGAAGAAUAAAUGACGGUACUAUUUAUAAGGUCCGGCUAACUACGUGCCAGCAGCCGCGGUAAUACGUAGGGACCAAGCGUUGUUCGGAUUUACUGGGCGUAAAGGGCGCGUAGGCGGCGUGGUAAGUCAUCUGUGAAAUCUCCGAGCUUAACUCGGAACGGUCAGAUGAUACUGCUGUGCUAGAGUACAGAAGGGGCAAUCGGAAUUCUUGGUGUAGCGGUGAAAUGCGUAGAUAUCAAGAGGAACACCUGAGGUGAAGACGGGUUGCUGGGCUGAUACUGACGCUGAGGCGCGAAAGCUAGGGUAGCAAACGGGAUUAGAUACCCCCGUAGUCCCUGAGCGGGCUGGCAAGGCGCAU